AAAUUUCAGCGGGACUGACGCAUUUUUCGAGAAGCUAGCGAGGAAAUCCUUUUUUCAGCCAUCAGAUUCUCUAUAAAGUUGUAACAGAGUGAACAUCGCUGUCCGGACCGGAGCACCACGCUGGCCUGCAUCGUCCCGGCUCAGAUCCUGAUGCUCCGGUGCGUCUGGGCCUUAUCUCGGCGAUGCACCAGGCGGCACCUUUACCUGGCUGAGCAUGGGGAGUGAGGCAGAUGGACGGCUGGUGAUAGAGACAGUAAACUCCAUGAACUGGCCCUGUGUAGUAAGCCUGCCUGCCACUGAGGGGCGCUGCACACUCUGAUACAGCAGAUCUCCCUCUCUCCUGAUGCAGUCCCACCUCAGGCAGUGAAAAUACUCAAAAACAUGUGAACAGUGAAUGAAUGAAUGUGAAUUCAUGUCAGCAGGGACGGAGCGGAUUUACACACCUUUUUCAUCUGAAAAACAGGGCAUGCUUCACUUUUGAUGAAUACGAAUCUUCAUGAGAUAAAUAAACAGGAGGCAGCAUCAUCAAUAUCAGACAAAUUAUAUAAGUUAGAGGUUAUAAGAAGGAAUCUAAUAAAGGUGGAAGAGCAUUAUGGCUUGGCUUGUGAUCAGGUACCAUAAUAUCUCUACACGCAGUUUUUGCCACUUGAAAUGGGUAAUCUAUAAAAUCAUCUGAAGUGGAUGUAGAGCUGCAACAAGUUAUUUUCACAGCUUAUUAAUUUACAAUAAAUAUAUGUACUUUUAAAUUAAUUAAUUUGAAGCAUUUCACCUAUAAGCUAAAAGUAAUGUAUUCAAAUGUCUUCAGCCAAAAAAAGAAAAAAAAGAAGAAAAAAAAACACCGCAAAGUAUUAAUGGGAUCUUCAUGAAGCUGGAACCAGAUGUGUUUGGCAUUCUUACUUGAUAAAUAAGUGAAAUGAUUUAUCGACUAUCAA